UGUUAAAAAUUUCUUUCAUUUGUAUUGUUAAAACUAGCGUGAUUGAUGAAAUAACCAAACAGUAACAAGUGGCGUGCCGGGUGUGCCUUAUGCUGAUGCAUAAAGAUCAAUUUUUAAAAGUAGAAAUGGAUGAAAAUUUUAACA
rfam:Gossypium raimondii Chr03_contig_984, whole genome shotgun sequence.